rnacentral:rRNA from 1 species
AUUGAACGCUGGCGGGAUGCCUAACACAUGCAAGUCGAACGGAGUGGCGGACGGGUGAGUAAUGUCUCGGAACGUGCCUAGUAGCGGGGGAUAACGUCCGGAAACGGGAGCUAAUACCGCAUACUAUCAGAUGAGCCUAGGUCGGAUUAGCUAGUUGGUGGGGUAACGGCCUACCAAGGCGACGAUCCGUAACUGGUCUGAGAGGAUGACCAGGCACACUGGGACUGAGAAACGGUCCAGACUCCUACGGGAGGCAGCAGUGGGGAAUAUUGGACAAUGGGCGAAACCCUGAUCCAGCCAUGCCGCGUGUGUGAAGAAGGCCUUCGGAUUGUAAAGCACUUUAAGUUGGGAGGCGUUACCAGCAGAAUAAGCACCGGCUAACUACGUGCCAGCAGCCGCGGUAAUUC